AUUAUUAAAUGCGCCUACAACAUCCAAAAAAACACCAGCCAAUAUCUUAUUGUCAAUCUGGGCACUAUGGAUGUCAAGACAUAAAUGCCGUAUACUCUCACAAGCAGAACAACCACAUCGAAAUCCAAAUUGAUUAUUAGAUUACUGUGUGGAGGAAUGUUGGAUGGAAUUGAAGAAGAUUCAGUUUCCGACACUACCAUGGAAAAUUUUGUGAUUGUAGGCAAGUGAUAGCUGCCCAAAGAGUCCUGAUGAACUUGCCAUUCACAGCACAGGAAUAAUGAAGAUGAUACUAUUGUUAGAUCUAGUCCAUUUGGUCUCCCAAGAAUUAGUACCCACUGUAGUUGGUUGAUCAUUAUUUAAGAGCAUUAAGUCAUUAUCGUCCAUUACAUCCAUGAUGUCUCUUCCUCUAGAAUUGGUUCUAUUACAACCCCAAAUGGUAUGGUGAGCAUUAAAAUCACCAGCAAUUAUUAGUGGUUUUGGAAUACUAUGCAACAGUCUAUUAAAUUUAGAUUUGUCAAAGUUAGGUACACUGUUCCCAGGACUAUAAAAGCUAACAAUUGAGAUGUCUUUUUGUUUGUAUUUAAUUUUGAUUGCUACAUUUUGCAAGGAGUUAUCAGAAAAUGUUUUUAACUUUUGAAAAUAAAUGCCAUUUCUAACAAAAA